ensembl:lncRNA
CUUAGACGAGGCUCCGCUUACUUUCUGUCUUGUCUAAGUUGCCUGAUGGCGAAACAGGCUGGAAUGCGUGCUCUAAGACUUUUCACAAGGAUCUGUCACUUUCAUUUAGAAACACGAGGUUCAUUGCUUUUGCACAAGAUGCCGAAAGGCUGGCAACGCAUGAAGGUGUCUGCUGUGUGUGUUCUGAGGCUGUGCAAGAUUAUUUAAAAAAAAACAACAACAACAAACUGGAGGAUAGUUGCUUUUCAACGUUGUGUUAGUUUCUGCUGUACAACAAUGUGAAUCAGCCUUUCACAUUAGGUCAUCUCAGCCCCGACACUGAGGAUGUGAGAAUUAUAGAAUUUCCCUGUAUGAAUAUGAAGAGUGGUGCUUAGAAGAAGGAAAGGGAAGCUCUUCCUUGGGAAGUGAUUGAAAACAAACACCAGAACCUGACAAUUUGUGCACACAGUUCCCUUCUGAUUUGUCUCUUCCAUUGGAGCAUCAUUAGUUAAAAUACCCAAGUUACAGGAUAUUAAGUGUGGCUUUCGGUUUAAAUACUUUAUUUCUAAAUUUGAAAAACUGGUUGUCAAGACACUUUAGUUGGAC